rnacentral:lncRNA from 10 species
GCUCAUCUUCUUCGCCUCCCUGGGGAGCUUCCUGAGCAUCCUUCUCGUGGGCGUCCUUGGCUACCUUGGCCUGAACAGGGCCGCACGGCACCUGUGCCCGCCGCUGCCCACACCCUGUGCCAGCUCCGCCAUUGAGUUCCCUGGAGGGAAGGAGACUUGGCAGUGGAUCAACCCAGUGGACUUCCAGGAAGAGGCAUCCCUGCAGGAGGCCCUGGUGGUAGAGAUGUCCUGGGACAAAGGCGAGAGGACUGAGCCUCUCGAGAAGACAGAGCUACCUGAGGGUGCCCCUGAGCUGGCCCUGGAUACAGAGUUGUCCUUGGAGGAUGGAGACAGGUGCAAGGCCAAGACACGAAGAGCGACUAUCUCAAUCACAACGGCUGGUUAUUAAGCACUUAUGGCAUACCCAGCCCAUUC